rnacentral:rRNA from 1 species
CCUACGGGGGGCAGCAGUGAGGAAUAUUGGUUAAUGGCCGGAAGGCUGAACCAGCCAUGCCGCGUGAAGGUCAGUGCCCUAUGGGCGUUAAACUUCUUUUGUGCGGGAGCAAUAAUGGUCACGUGUGGCCAGACGAGAGUACCGUACGAAUAAGCAUCGGCUAACUCCGUGCCAGCAGCCGCGGUAAUACGUGGGAUGCAAGCGUUAUCCGGAUUUAUUGGGUUUAAAGGGUGCGUAGGCUGUGAGGUAAGUCCUCGGGGAAAUGCCCCCGCGCAACGGGGUGAAGUGCCAUUGAUACUGCCUUGCUGGAAUGCGGAUGCCGUAGGAGGAAUGUGUGGUGUAGCGGUGAAAUGCAGAGAUAUCACACAGAACACCGAUUGCGAAGGCAGCUCACGAAUCCGCGAUUGACGCUGAUGCACGAAAGCGUGGGUAUCAAACAGGAUUAGAUACCCCAGUAGUC